rfam:Equus caballus chromosome 4, whole genome shotgun sequence.
GGAUGUGAGGGCGAUUGGCUGUGACAUCCGUCACUCCACUGAUCACCAGAGUUGGUUCGGCUCACCUGGCUAGCUAGGCAGUGUCCCCUUGCUCCAUCACGGCUCAUGUGUGACCUUCCCGAAGCUGCCCUCUUGGUCCAAGAGGACGACUUUCCCUGAUAGAGGAGGAUCCUUCUUCCAUCAAGGGUCUAUGAGUGGCUGAGCUCCCCUGCUACAACCUCCCAACAUGCUCUCAAGAUGGGCUGAGGCGUAUUACAAGUUUUAAGAGUUAUUUGAGCAAAAAUCUAUUUGGAU